rnacentral:rRNA from 1 species
CGCGUAGGCGGUUUGAUAAGUCAGAUGUGAAAGCCCACGGCUUAACCGUGGAAGUGCAUUUGAUACUGUCAGACUUGAGUACCAGAGGGGAAAGUGGGAAUUCCCGGUGUAGAGGUGAAAUUCGUAGAUAUCGGGAGGAAUACCGGUGGCGAAGGCGACUUUCUGGCUGAGUACUGACGCUGAGGCGCGAAAGCGUGGGGAGCAAACA